GUCUACGGCCAUACCUAGGCGAAAACACCAGUUCCCGUCCGAUCACUGCAGUUAAGCGUCUGAGGGCCUCGUUAGUACUAUGGUUGGAGACAACAUGGGAAUCCGGGGUGCUGUAGGCUUCC
rnacentral:rRNA from 1 species